UACGUAGGGUGCAAGCGUUGUCCGGAAUUAUUGGGCGUAAAGAGCGCGUAGGCGGCCCUGUAAGUCCGCUGUGAAAGUCAAGGGCUCAACCCUUGAAUGCCGGUGGAUACUGCAGGGCUAGAGUCCGGAAGAGGCGAGUGGAAUUCCUGGUGUAGCGGUGGAAUGCGCAGAUAUCAGGAGGAACACCGGUGGCGAAGGCGGGUCUCUGGGCAGUAACUGACGUGAGGAGCGAAAAGCGUGGGGAGCGAACAGG
rnacentral:rRNA from 1 species